rnacentral:lncRNA from 1 species
CAACAGGAUGAACACUUGGCUAGAAGCAAUAUCGCGGAGAUGAUGUCAUAUCUGCUGUUCAUGACCCUGCUGAUCAACAAAGUGAGAGCUUCUUCACCAAUGGGAUCCAGGCACUACAAAACCGACGAGAAACAUAUGUGGCCCGCAAGGUGUGGUGGCAAUGCUGGAAAAAUACCGCAUCUGGACACAUUCCAUGAGAGUGUCUUGGUUAGUCUAGGAACUGUUCAAAUGACCAUCGGAUUUGCAUGUAAGUGCAUAUCUUUAUAUCCAUGCAUCUAUAUAUCUGUAUAUCUAUCUGUUUGUCUGUCUACCUGUCUGUCUGUCUAUGUAUAUCUCUCUAUACAUAUAUGAACAAAUACCCAUAGUGCCCCAAAAUAAUAUUUAGGGAUUCUUAGGGUCAUACUCCUUUAACUGGUAAUUAACAUUGUGAUUUAAAGUAUUCCCUUACCCAGCCUCUAUUUAUAGACAGUUACUUUAUAUCCAAUGGACUACUCCUAAUGUCUUCUUUCCUUCCUGAGGAAAAGGGUUAUGGCAAUAUUUAUGACCAUACUUUGCCAUGAGCUGUCAACACACUCUUGUCCUUUAUUCAAAAUAUACACAGUAUUCUAGUCUUAGAUUUUGUAGUUGAUAAAGAGAGAAAUGAAUUAGAAAUGAAUUUCUAUACCUUUCAACACAUUGACCCGAUAGGCUUCAUGCGAUUCUUGGAAGUGUAGUUUAUUCUUGGCUACAAUAGCGACAGCAUGAAUUUCUUCCAUCUUGGUCUGCUAAAAUAUUUGAGAAAAAUUAUAUUAAUAUGUCCGAAAGGUUAAAAUUCUAUUUAUUUACUUGUGCAGCUGAAGAUGGCACUGCAUUUAAAAUGAUGCAUUGUUCAAUUAAAUGGAGCCGCUUGAAACGGUCGUACUACAUAACUACUUGAUAUCCUCUUGCUUAUUUUGAUUAUAUAUAUAUAUAUAUAUAUAUAUAUAUAUAUAUAUAUAUAUAUACAUACGGAGAAGACAGAAUGUAUAUAUAUGUAUGUGUAUGUAUAUAUAUAUAUAUAUAUAUAUAUAUGUAUGUAUAUAAAUAUAUGAAUAUAUAUAUAUAUAUAUAUAUAUAUAUGUGUGUGUGUGUAUAAAUAUAUGAAUAUAUAUAUAUAUAUAUAUAUAUGUGUGUGUGUGUGUGUAUAAAUAUAUGAAUAUAUAUAUAAAUAUAUAUAUAUAUAUAUAUAUAUAUAUAUGAUGAACUCUCUCAUCGGUUUCAAGGCAUGAGGAUAUGAUAACUUACUCUUUCUUUGUCAGUCACAAUGCUUAUGUCGAAUGUGACGUUUAAAUUCUGCCCACGAUGUGCAAAGAUGCCCACAGAUGUUUCAAGUUUGAGGAUUGCAAGUCAGUGCAGGUGGUCUGUUUGCAGCUGCUUUUCUCCUUUGUCUUGCACACCUAAGCCUGUUCAUGCUGGUUGCAACAAAGUUUUUUUUAUACCAUUAUGACACAUAUAUGCGUAUAUUUGUUUUACAAUCCGCUUUUGUACAUAUUUCACCUUCGGAGAAUCAGGCGUACUAUCCAACAUAAAUUAAGGUACCAUAUUCCGACAUUAAAAACGUAAGAGUACAUAAAGCUACGCAGAAUUUGCUUUAGAUUAUGACGUAGAAAGAGAGUGUCCUCAGGUUGAAGUAAUCGUAGGAAUCGCAUUAUUGCAUUUUGACUCCUUCAUUACGAUCGCUGCAAUGAAAUUAUAAAAAGUAUACUUAGUAUAUAAACUCAUAUUUUCCAAAAAUAUCUUGCUUCACGAUGUAUCAUGAAUAUAAGAAUAUAUUAGAUAUAUAAAAAUAUAUUAGGUAUAUAUUAUAAAGUCGUAAUAUAACAAAAUACAAAUUAUGAUAAAAAUAUAACUAUCGUUGAAAGAGUAAUAUAAAAUUUAAUGUAAAAUUAUGGAAUAUGGAAACAGAAAGUUCUAGAUAUAAAGUAUAAUGAAAUAUACAAAUAACGGUAAAAGUAAAAAGUAAGGAUAAACCAUUAUUUAAAAAAUAUAGUCUGUCAUUUACCAAGAAAUAAAAAAAAAGGAAAAUCUGAAAGCAAAUGAAAGAAGCACAAUCCAAAAUGUCACGAGUUAAAAAUUUUAGAUAAUUGAUAUAAAGAAAAAUGAAUAUCAUGAAAUAAAAAAAUAUAUAUUUCCUUCAGAUUGUAAAUAUGUAUGUUACUGUGUGUGUGGGUAUGUAUACUGUAAAUAGGUUUUUGUGACAGUGUACAUAUAUUUCAAAAGACGUUUGUAUGAUUUAGACUUUAUAAUGUCAUCUACAGGGCCAAUUGUUUGCCCUAAUUGCUUCAGAUCAGCUACAACAUAACUCAUCCUAAAUUUAUCGCUAGUAUAUCUUAAUAAUGUUCAUUGUCUUUUACUCUUUGUGAUAUACACUUAGAUCGAGGUGUCUUAUCCUGUCAACAACACUAAUAUUUUCAAGAUUAUUUUGCGUUUCUACUUUUUUUGAUAUUUAUAUUUGUUCAUUCUUUAUAUUGUUUUAAUUUUCAUUCUCCUUUCCGAAUUCUAUUUUAUUAUUGAUUGAGGAUUAAUCUUGGAACAAUUUGCUACUCCUCAAUUCCUUGGUUUCUCUUUAUAUAUUUCUUUUAUAUUUUAUUCUAGAAUCAUAUUUCGUUAUGUCUGUGUCUUAUAAUUCACCAUUUAUCUUUCCAGUAUUUAUUUAUAGGUUAUUUGCUCAUCUUUCUUUUUUUGUCAUAUUUUAGAAUUGCUUCAAUUUGGGUUUUGUUUCUAUUUUUUAGUAUGAAAGGCAAUAUAAUUUGCCUACUGUUAUAUCUAGGACAUUCGUAUAAAAACAAUCUUUUUAUGAAAAUUGUUUUGCAAAAAAAUAAGGUUUAAAUAAGGUGAAUGAACCAGUCACAAGGAAACAGUAACGAAUAUCAAAAACUUGUUUACUGCUAUUCGAUAAAAUUAUUGUGCUAUGUAUGUAUGUAUUUAUAUAUGUAUAUAUGUCAGGUUACUUUCGAGUUCUACUGGUAACAUGUAACCCGGUACAACCUGUUGCAUUGUCGGGUCGUCGGCGACUAAACCGGAAACCCCACCAAGCUUGCUUGGUGAGGAGGAUGUUUAUUGGACACCCUGCGGGAUGAAAAAAAACCCAUCAAAGGGCGGAGGACCUCUUGAGAAUCAACGGCCAUCCAAUAAAUGUUAGCACGGGUACGCAGAAAUUCCGGGAUGGUGUCCGUCGUGCUGUAAGACCACUGGGAGUGAGGGUCCCCUCAGCAUUUGUUAAAGCAUGUCUCUAGGAGAAAGUCACUCUGAUAUAAAACCAGAUAUGCAGGGAAAGCCAUUGGACAUUUUGGGGAUCUUUGGUUUGUGCUAGUGAUCACGGUGCUCCCACAUCGCUGAGCCUGCGACUCAUAUUGGCACCAGACAUCUUGCUCCGGCUUGUCUCUGGAUAAUUUCAAUAACGUGGAGAGGGUCUAUGAGGUGUGUGCAAGCCUUAUUGGACCUAAAACUCUGCACAGGCAUUGCCGACCUCUGCCCGAUAUGUGCAUUUUUUAAACUCUAUAUAUAUUUAUCUUAUUUUUAGUAUAUAUUUAUCUUAUUUUUAGUAUAUAUUUAUCUUAUUUUUAGUAUAUAUUUUCUUCAUUUUUAGUAUAUAUUUUUUUUAUUCGGAAGUCCUGCAGCGACGGCGGUGAAGCAUGCAGACCUGACGGGUUGGAAGCAUGUAGUCAGCAACCUGCACGUAGGCGGCCCAUGCUAGAUAUAAAGUCGUCUCCUUAUCGCCCAAGACAGCGGUAGGAUUCGGUUGCUGCAUAGGUGUCUGAGCCGCUGCAUUUAGAGAGGGCACUGCUCACCCGGAGACCGGGGAGGUUCUAGAAAAUGUGAACCAAAAAUUGCCUGCCAUUCCAUAUCUGGUCAGUCUAGCGCGACUGACGGAUGUCUACCCUGCGCUCAAAAAACAAAGAGUCUUUUAUCUAUAAAAUCUGGACGGAACUUAAACAUUUCAUGUUGGAAUGUGCGCUCUCUGUUGGACAACAAGUGUGAUUGCAGGCCUGAAAAACGCACUGCAUUUGUUGCUCGUGAGUUGAACCGUUAUAUAAUUGAUAUAGCUGCACUCUCAGAGACUCGUAUGGAAGGUGAUGGUCAGCUUGAGUAAGUAGGAGGUGGAUACACCUUUUUUUAGAAAGGAAGGCAGAAGGAGGAGCGCAGAGAGGCUGGUGUUGGUUUUGCAGUCCGAUUUGAUAUCCUUAAGAAGUUGGAAGAGUUCCCUUUUCCUAUAAAUGAACGUAUAAUGACGCUACGGUUGCACUUGAAAGGUAAGCGGUUUGUUACCCUAAUAAGUGUCUACUCACCUACUUUGACUAGAAAAAUCCCCAAUUAUGAUAAAGUCAUUCUACUGGGGGAUUUUAAUGCCAGGGUUGGAACAGACUGGCAAACAUGGAACUCUCUAGGACGUUUUGGAGUAGGGAAAAUGAAUAACAAUGGUCUCAUGCUACUGGAGCUUUGCGAAGAUAAUGGACUUUACAUUGCAAGCACUCAUUUUGUGCACAAAGGUGAUGCAUCCACAUGGAUGCAUCUAAAGUCCAAAGUUUGGCACUUUCGAGACCAGGUUGUUCAAUGUGCAGCCGAAACACUGGAGUAUGUUACUGCCAGACACAGACUGGAUUGAUAAGAAUGAUGCUGAAAUUCAACGACUAUUAGUGGUAAAGCGCCAUGCCCACAGUGUGUUGUUGCACAGAGAAAUGUCUACUGUGCAGCGAGGUCUAGCACUUGCCCACUAUAACAGUGUAAAAUCACUACUACAGCGAUACAAUUGAAUUGUACAUAAUAAUAUCCGAUAAUAUAUGAAAACCUGCUCACAGUAAAAUAUUACUGUUAACACUAAUUGAAACGUAUCAUUUCGAAGCGUCAUACUAAGCUAUGAAUUAGAAAGUUACUCCAAACUUUAUCUACAUAUUGUUUUUUUCCCAAGCCGCAUUUAAACGUUUUCACCCUCAAAUUCCUAUUGUAACUCUGUUAACCCUGUUUGUCCGUAUGGACCAGGGACAUCUUAAACUCUUUACAAAAUAUGCUCACCCCAGUUAUAUUUCUGGGGUAUCAAAUAACUUGAAUGGAGCAUACUUUAUACCAAAUUGUUAACGGAAUUCUCAUACCCAGGGCAAGGAUGCAAUGCGAUAAUUAAAGAUAUCAGAUUUAUUAUAUGUAGAUACAUUUAUUAACAAUUUUAUCUACACAAACUACCUUAAGAUCUAUAUAGAUAACGUCUCUCCUAGCUGCAAGUUCGACUGAUAUUUUACCAUUCAAAAUUUCUCAAUAAUUGUAGUUAUGAAUGAAAAUAUCAUCGAUAUAUAUGUAACAACCACUAAACUAUUUAAAUAAACAUAUCAUCUUCUGAGGGCAUACAUCAUUGAGAAAUCUAACCACACAAGAGAUAUAUAUUGGCCAAAGUUCUGCAAUUAUAACUCUUCAGAAUGCUAUUGAUUUCUUUAAAUGUUCUUCGAGCUAUAGCAAUGUGUAACUUAUGGACAAUAAAAUUAACCACCUUCUUUAAAUAGUUUUUAUUUAAACAAUUAAAGUCAUUACAGCUGCUCAAGUAAAUAAAACAUACGCGUUUGUGCGUUUGUGUGUUUUUAAACUUUUAUAAACACAAUAUUUAUAACUAAAUAUUCCUUCUUCAUCCCUUGUCAAGUAUAGAUUAUUGUACAUUGUAGAGAAACCUACAGAAGCAUAGUAUAUAAUAAAAUACUUUUCAAUUGUUCCCGCAGCCGUAAUAACAACAUUGAAUGGAUUAUUAACAACAUCCACAAAUAAACAAGCAUACCAACAUUAUACAUAUUAUAAACUAGCUGUCUUGUACACUAACAUUGGAUAUCGACAAGGUUAAAUCGUGGGAAGCAUGACCACUGCUUACAUUACUAAUACAGGCAGCAGUGUAUUGAUACAUAUAAUAGUACUCGUGAUAAAUCUCCCGUAUGAGGCCUUAUUAGCUGUGGAAUCCAAAAUAAUUUAAGAGUUAACUGUAUAAUAGUCAAUGAAUUUCAAGAUUAAUUCAAUGGAAACACCUCACUUUGUGAGAACAACCUUGAUGAUAAUGAUUAACACUUGUGCUAGGUAGGUACUUAACUAGCGAAUGGGUUAAACAUGAUCAACAAAGCAUUUCUCCGAAAAUGAGGUCCUUCCAAAUUUCAGGAUUACUUUAACUUUCACCUGCUUUAUUAGGCUUGUUAUAUUCUCAUUUCUGAGAACAUUCUAGUCACGCUGACAAGCAUUUUCUGCCUCACGAGUGUAGAAUUCGAACUUAGUGGACCUAUCUUGCCGAUAUUCGUUUAACACUGAAAUAAAGGAAUCAACUCUGAACUAUAAUUAGCUCGUUAAGAACACCGCUUCUAUAUGCAAAGUAUAUUUGCUGUACAAAACUCCUCUUUAUCAUAUCUAGAGUAUUCAUUUUACCUGUCGGAAUCAUGUCACAUGUGUUAUGCUAUCUUACUAAUGUCACACGAAUUGCACGUAAGUAAUCAUAUGAUAAAGAUGAUAUUUUUAUAAAUUCAAAUCCCUAAGUACACACUUGUAAUUAUAGAGGCUGUGCUUACAAAGAGAAUGCAACUUUUAUCACUGCGUAUGUCUAGUUUUAUGAGAACGUAAAUGUCAUGAAUAUCAUUAUAAAUUUCCGCAAUAUGCCAGUCACUAAUCCUAGGAUGAAGAUAUCGUAUAUCUAGGGAAGUAAUUUGAAAGAAUAUGAUCACAUUAUGAUUAGAUAUACGAGGGUAACGUAAUAUAAGAAUCCUGAAAAUGCGCAAUGCUACACGAUGGAAACUUGAAUUAUAAAGGAGCUGUUGUAAUAUUGCUGUGCUCAUUGGCAUUGCUCUCAUUGUUGUAAAAAAUAGGUAAAAAAUUUCUAAUCCGUAGUCGUUCUAGGAUUAAGCCAAAAUGUAUCGUUUUACGAGCUUUUCUAAACACUGAGGCCAUUACAAACCUUUUCGACAUUUGGAGUGUAAUCUAAGAAUGCUUCGUAAAUAUUUAUGAGCUUAAGCUUUGACUAAAUCUCUUAUCCUUGUUUAUUUAUCUAACAUCAUAUUACUGUUCCCAGUUCAUUUUGAAAUGUUCAGCUUUGCUUUCUUUCUGUGAUUCAGAUCUCUUAUAAGCUCCCGUGCUAGAACCGAGUAUAUAUAAUUCUUCAAGUGUUCAUAAUUCACCAAGCUAACCAUGAAAAUUAAAAAGUUGAUAAAUAUACUAAUAUCACGUUACACGAAGAAAUAAAAUUAUACCAAAUUCAGGUCGGCAAUUUAUAAUUUAUCAACUAGACAACGUACAGCAUACAUACGCAUCAGGAGAGAACAUUAUAAAAAAACAACUGAAAGACUGAAAUAAAAAAUGAGGUUUGAGUUAUUUUUCACAAUUUUAAUAUUCAUAACUUGUCCCUUACUGAACGAUCAAAAUUUCGUAGGAAAUCAUGGGAAAUAAUAACCACAUUCUGUAUGUACAUAUUAUUAUGAUAGAGUCGUUUUCAACAAACACAGGACACAGGUGUCUAAUACUUCUAGGAAACACUUGUAGAUCUACAGAACACAUAAAAAAACAUAGGGAGCAAAAGGGACAAUUUAUGGUCCGUGUCUGAGAAGACAUAACAACAGUAACAGAGGAGCGAAGAAGGCAUUUUUUCUUCUGCUAGAAACCUUCUGAACAGGCGAUGUACCCUUGCAGUACUUCCAGCCAAAGAACAUUUGGAAAUUACCCGUAAUGCUCGUCUUGAAUGAUAUUCCAGAAUAGAUUGCUCGGGCUGUCCUGAAUUAUUCCCAUGUCCAAAGAACACUGUCACUUGAUCAAAGUCUUCCGGAAGAGGUUAAACCACAAUGUUGAAGCCAGAAGGAGAAUAAAAAUGUGCAUUGCGGAAAUUCUGGCUUGGGGAACAUUCAACAAAUCUGAACGUUGUAAAGUGUGUUAAAUAGUCGACACUAAUUUACAUUUAUUCAUACAAUCAUAUCUUGGAGUAAGCAGGAUGAGAAGAAACUAAAAAGUGUAGUGUUACUUUCUUUGAUUAACAGCAAUUUUCUUAACUGCGAUAUAUUUAAAGCCCCUUCAGCAUGGAGAAAACAUUCUUGAGAGUUAUAGACAGUAUUGUUUAAUGGUCACAACUAUACUCUUUCAACGGUUUUGAUUUUAUACUCAUCAAAGUGUUUGCUUUACUGCAGAUAUUUUCUGAACGAAUGAUCUCAAAUUCACAGGCAUAAUCCACUGAAUAUAUUCCUUUGUGAGUCGUCUUUUCCUCUCUGAUCGUUGCUGAUAGGAGUGUGCUUUUUUCGUUUAAGCUAUGUUUGUUUUUCUGUUAUAGCCGAAUUAACGUGUAGCUCUGUUUGAUUUAGCACCAUUUCUGUUUAUCUUUCGGUUGCAUCCGUCGCUCUGUGCAUUUGCUUUAGUUUUGGACCAUACUAUUUGCUCUUAUGCAUGUUAUUGCUGUGGUUCCUUUAAUUUUCGACCAUUCUAUACUAUUAGAAUUGUUGUCACUUGUUUGUUAUUUCAUUUGACUUGCUGAUUGACUUGUAACAAACAUUCUUUUCAGCAUCCCUGUUUUUGUUACAACGAAUGCUCAUUUUGGGAAAGCGGGGUCAAAUCGCUCUUUCUUCUGAUCCACACAUUGUUGACUUUUAUGUUCGUUCUACGAUAUGACAUAUUUAGAAUUUUUCAGGUCCUUUCCAGCAUCUGCCUCUAUUUAGACUCAUUCCUGUCUCUACUUUCAAGCGUCUGUUAUUUUAUCUCCUUGUUGUUGUUAGAAAUUCCUGCAUUAGUUUUUUGUUUUUGGUAUACUUUUAGUAGAAAUUGUUUCUGUUUGCUGCUGCAAUUACUAAUGCUUUUCUAAUUAGAGUGGCUCGUUAGCUGCUAUCUUCAGUGAAAACCGGCGAUCGGCAUCGGCAUUCUACACGCAUCUUUAGAAGUGCUGAGAAAUGCCCACUCGAAAACUACUUUAUCAUAUAAAUAACAUUUUGUAUUUGUUCUCUCUACAUCCACUCACUUCGACUUACAGAUAAAAAUUAAUGGAUGUCAUAAACCUUCUUCAUGCAAUUAACAUCUGAUACACCAGUGACAUUCUGGAUCGCUUCCACUUCCAUGUGGACCAGUAUUGCUUCGCGUUUCUCUAACAUAUUCAAAAUGUGUGGUAGGAAUUUUGUGAUCUUCAAUUUGGACUGGAAUAAAAAUGAAAUUAGGGAACUUGUAAUUUGCGUCAAUUAUUUUGUCUUCAUUCUCACACCUGUUGUGUACUAUUACAUUUACUAUUAUUAACAAAUAUUAGUUAUUCGUCUUCCAGGUGUUCUUCGCUUUGUACCAGUCGAGAACUUGAACUUCCGCCCAUUACAAUUCAUGCAUUCAUUGACACACGAUGGCGCAUCAUGAAUAUGGUUUGACUUAUCAGGAAUGUCAAAUCAUUCCCGACUAUGAAAUGCCGCUCAUAGAUUCUUAAUUGCUUUCAUGUUUCUCUCGUUCCUCUGCGUUGAUCAUUCGAUACUUGUGAGAACAACAUGUAUGAAAUGACAUGUGUCACCUAAAACAUAUGAAUAGUCAAGCGGCAAGAUAAAUAACUUGGACUAAACGUUGUAUUAUCACAAAACUGAUUCAAAUCUUUAUUGCGCUCAUCAUCGACGUUGAUGUAAAUAAAAAGCGAUAUAAUUGUUACAGUAUAACACUGCAGGAAAAUCAAAUUACGGUCAAAAAUAUAAUUAAUAUAUUGCAGUAAUGUGAGCAAUAUUAAUAUUAAUGCGAAUAUAGCAAAAUAUGUUAUGAAGUACAUAUUAACAUUUUCAAAUAGAUACUCACGUAGUGGCAUCGCAUUUAAUUUGUAUCACGUAGCAUAAGGGGUGAUAGUAAUAGAAGAUAGCCAGUUCCAAAGUGGAAUUUCGGUACAUAUGGCAUCAACCUUAUCUCGCUGAAAAUUAAAUAACUACAUUUUUAAAACAUUGGAACUGAAGAAAAUGAGAAACGUUUUACCAAAUCUCAUAGUAUUGCCUGGGAGAGUAGCUGAAAAAUAUUUUCUGUGAGCCAGGCCAAAUUAUCAUCCUUGGCUAUUUCUACGCAGUCAUAUGUCUUCGCAGUUAUGUUUUCUCUGCUUCCGAAAAUUUGCAUGAGUUCACGAGGACCAUUAACUGCUUCGAUGUCACUAAUAUCAAUGAAUCCGAAAAGGCAAUUGUUAUGUCCAUUCAAACUAAUGCAAAUAAUAAAUGAAAAUAUAUGCAUCGCAAAUCUAUGGAGUAACAACAAAGUGAAUUUUAAAAAAAGGAUCCAUUUGAGUAAUUGAAUAACUUCAUGUGGAACGAAAGACAUGCUAAUUCCCAAAGACAUGCAACCAUGUUGCAGGUUUUACUGCUUUUGUCACUCUCUUCUACGCCUUUAUUUGUUUUUAUAUUUGUUCAUGAUUGCAAUACCUAAACUUCAUCUCAUUGUUACAACUGAGUUAUCUGUUUUAUACCACACAUCUCGCUGCUUUUGUUUGUUCACACAAAUCUAAGCAGCGCUUCGGAAUAUCCCAGCUGCUGAAGGCGGAGUGUCAUAAAAACUUAUAUACCGUCACGGAUUUUUUUAGGCACGUCGGCGCUCGUUACCCACUGGUGACCAGUGUGGCAGGUGUCGAUAUCCCUGAUGUUUACUGUUGUAAUAUGCUGGCACAUGAAUUGUGGUGUGGCCAGGUGUGGCGCUAUUUUAAUUGUGAAAAUAUAUGCAAAAUUCAGUAUCACUAUCACAAAUCAAACAUUCUAUGCAACACUCCCAGUAUUCAUAAAACGAAGCAAAUAUUUCUUCAAAUAUAAUCCCAUAGACAAAUAAAAUCCAGAUAAGAGCGAGAAAACAAACAAGCAGAAAAACUGGAAAACGAAAUAUCUAUCACUCAUUUAGUUAAUCAACAAGCAAAAACAACAGCAUCGGAAAACUAGAAAUCAUUACGGAAGCAAAAAAUAAUACAAAAAGAAUAUUCGAAAUCAAAGAACGAAUAAAAGACGAAAUACUCGAUAAAUCGAAAACAACUAUAAAAAAUCAACAAUGUUUAUGUCAACAAUGCAAACAGCUUAAACGUUAAUCAAAAACGAUUUUUAUCAAUAGACAGUUUAGAAAAAAAGUAAAAAGCAGAUAAAUAUAACACGUUGAACAAAUGAUGGAGAAGAUUAUGCAGUGCAAGGUAAUCGUAAUGUGUAAGAUUUUACUUUAAAUAUGAGUUCAGCAAAUGAACAAUCGUGUCAAUAAAUAACAAUACAAGAAAUACCUGAGGAGUUUCAAAAUAUAAACCCAUAGAAUAUCAAAGGAAGUGAUAUAUAUUUCAACUGGCACUCACAAAGCUAUUGAAGGACGUUAAUUUUUUUGAAUUAACAAGAGUCAUCACUUGAAUGUAUUCAUUAUUAUAAGGAAUGUUGCUGCUAUAUACAACUGAAAAAAAUAUACCUCAAAUUAUAGAGUCAUACCUUACAUCCUUACAAUAGAAUAGCUGCAAUAAUCUAUCAAAAGAUAAAUGCUUACAUGAAAGAAAAAAUCUUUUAAUUGCAUACAACGAGAUGGGAUUUUUUAUGAUGGCGAUGAUCAAUUAUUGAUAAUUAAAGUUAAACAAAAUGUAGAGAAGAAAAAGGGGUCGGAGAAUAGCAUAAAUUGUAAACUUUGUUCUACCAGUGGUGUUUGGAAACAACAGCGUCACUUCCAAUAUAAUACAUCAAACAUUCUUUCUCUUUUUUUUUACUCUAGGUACAAGGCCCGAAAUUUUUGGGGAGGGGCGGUCGAUCUAAUGAAUGUCUGACCUUGUGCCUAGAAAGGAAAAUAUAAUACAUCAAACAUUGCCUGAAUAUAGGGCUACAACUUCUUAAGUUACAAAGAGAAUGCAACAAUAAAAAACAAAAUGCAUUUGUUUUAGGAAAAAAAAAGUUUGAAGUAAAUUUGGGCUAAGGUCAAAAUAUGUACCUAAAAUAAUAAACUAUACUGGAUUCGAAUGAAAAGGAAAAUGAUGCUGUGAUGGUGUGGGGGGGUCUGUUCUAACACGUAAAUGCUAAACAACUAGAAACAAUUAACUUGCCGUGCAUUCAGCAGUGUAACUGAUAUGAUGUUCACUACUGGAAAAUUGAGUAGAAGAAUCUCAUAAGAACAGUAAUCGGUGAUAGAUAAAGAAACCGAGAUGAGUUUCUUUAAGAGAUGAAACUAAUAACACCAAAGAAUAUAGAAUAAAGGCACCGAGAUUAUAGAGAUAGACAAAACACAAAAUAAUUAGUAAGAAAUAAAUUAUCUAAAUAACGUACACCAUACACAAAUGACAGAAAAACAGAGAAAGAAUAUUAUUGCAUUAAUUCUUGAAUAGAACUAGGUAAAAACAAAUGGAAAAAUAUUCUGGCUGUUUCAGUAUAAAGAUAUAGUUAUGAUAUUCGCAAAUGAAACUCCAGUGAAUUAUCAAGAUGAGACAAGAAAGCAAGUACAUUAAAUUCUACACUUUGAAUAUAAUGCCUUAAAGCUACAUUAAUAUAUUUAGUAUGAUAACUGUAAAUUUCCUUUGCAAAUACGAAAACAAAUAUACAGAUAUUAUCAACAAUAGGAACACAAACAUAUUAAGUAGAGAAUUAAAAAAAACAACGAUGUACAUAGAUUAAAAGAUAAAGUAUUGAACAAACAAACAAUUAUUUUCGUCUUCAACCAAUGUAUAAAGUAUAAAAAAGGGCGUGAGAUAUUAAAAACUGUGAAAGGACUGGGAAGAAAAAAUGUAAUAUGUAUAAAACAACUAAAAAUUCAAAGAAAUGACGUUAAUGUGCUGAGAAGAGCUCAUUACUCGGUAAAUACUGCUGAAAUUGAGUAAAACGGUUGAUAAUAAUGAAAAUAUCGACGAAUUGUUGAGAAGAAAUGCUGCUGUCGUGUAAAUACGAGGGGCGUUCAAUAAGUAAUGCCCCUGACCCACUUGCAAUUGUUUGAUCUAGCUGAAAUUUUGCAUGUGCACUUAUUGAUACCCCUAUAGAUUAAGUGGCGAAUUGCAGCGAAUUGCAGCUCUGAACUAAUUGUGGUUUCUGAUUUACAGGUGUUUGAACUGAGUCAAGUGUGAAAUGGAGCCUGUUGAGUGUCGAGCAGUGAUCUGGUUUUUGUAUUUGAAAGGACGCACACCACGGCAGACUUUUGAUGAAAUGAAAGUAACUUAUGGUGAUGAUGCCCCAUCAUAUGAUCUAGUAAAACGCUGGCAUUGUGAAUUCAAAUAUAGUCGGAACUCUGUUGAAACAGCUCCCAGAUCUGGUCGCCCCCUUCUGCCGUUGAUGAGACGUCUGUCCGACAAGUUGAGGCUGCCAUUUUGGAAGGUCAACGCAUAACUAUUCGCCAAAUAGCCCAUAAGGUCAAGAUUAGUACCGGGUGUGUGGAAACUAUCAUUCAUGACCAUUUGCAUAUGCAAGAAGUGUCUGCCAGAUGGAUUUCCAGGUUGCUCACACCUUUCCAGAAGCAAGAAGGCGUUGAGUGCUCGAGGAUGAAUUUGGAGAUGUGCCAAGAAGAUGAGUCAAAAUUUUUCAAAAGACUGAUCACACAGGAUAAAACCUGGGUCCAUCACUAUGAUCCAUAGACCAAAGCCCAGUCAAUGCAGUGAAAGCACCGUGACUCACCUCCUCCAAAGAAGGCAAGGGUGCAGCCCUCCGCUGACAAGGUUAUGCUCACAGUCUUCUGGGACCAGGACGGAGUAGUGAUGACAGAUUUCCGGGCAAAGGGUACCACAAUUACAGGAGCCUAUUAUGCUUCACUUUUGAGGAAAUUAAGAGAAGCUAUCAAAAUCAAGAGGCGGGGCAAGAUCAGCAAAGGCAUCCUAUUCCUGCAGGACAACGCUCCAGUCCACAACUCGCGUGUCGCCAGAUCAGAAGCACAGGCGUGCAGCUAUGAACUCCUCCCCUUGCACCCUCUGAUUUUCACCUCUUCCCAGCCAUGAAGUUGAUUUUGAAAGGAAAGCGUUUCCCAGAUGAUGCAGCCUUGAUUUCUGAAGUCACGUCGUGGUUGGAGGACCAAGCUGGGGUCUUCUACAAAAACGAUCUCCAGAGCUGUAUCAAACGAUGGGAGAAAUGCAUAACUCUGGGUAGUUCCUAUGUAGGAAGAAACUAAUAACUGUGCCAAGUGUCGUUGCUCUACUGCUAUGGGAAGUGGGUCAGGGACAUUACUUAUUGAACGCCCCUCGUAGAUCUGUUUGACAUUUUAAGUCACAUCACAGUCAGUGGGAAGACGUGUGGCAAUGUAAGUGUACUAUUUAAAACAUAAUGCCACGUUAAACUAUAUUUAAUACAAGUGCCAAUAUGCAAAUCGACUAGCGUUUAGUAUGAAGGACCACGAGGGACAGUUUCAGGGUCAUCAACAACAAUGUCGUCUAAUGAGUAGUAGUCAAAUUUGUGACAUAAUAUAAGAAGGUGCUCAGUGUAGACAAAAAUUGGAGUUACAACUGUAAGUGUAAGACAUAGCAGUUCUCAUGACCCGUAACGUCACAGAGCAACAGCGUAGUUGCACCACGUAGGGAGUAUUGUAAACAAUAAACCUUUAAAGUUUCUAACUGAAGUCAGAUGGCCUAGCUUCUAAGGUUGCAGUAACAGUUUAGAAGCUUAAAAGGAAACACAACUACACAAAUUAUGACGUUGUUGAGGCUCAGUUCUAAAGAGACGAGUGAAACUUACAAGUAGCCUCUGUAUAUAAUUAUAUAUAUAUAUAUAUAUAAUGAUAAAUAAGUUCAUAGUUUAAAACUUGCAAAGAAGGUUUUGAAACCACCUGAAGAAUGUCUCAUAGAAGUGCUGACACAAAACGAUCGUAGUGGUUAUUUUAAUUAACUUUAAUUUAUAUAAAUUAUUUUAUGUAUUGGCUUAAGUCUUUCUUUGUUUGAUUUGCAUAAUAGUGGUUCUGUCUCUAAUUUAAUAUAAUAUAUAUAUAUAUAAUUAUAUAUAUAUAUAUAUAUAUAUAUAUAUAUAUAUGUGUGUGUGUGUGUGUGUGUGUGUGUAUAUAUAUUUAUGUAUGUAUGUAUGUAUGUAUACAUAUAUAUAUAUAUAUAUGUAUGUAUAUGUGUGUAUAUAUACUAAUAUAUGUACAUAUAUAUACAUAUAUAUAUAUAUAUAUAUGUAUAUAUAUAUAUGUAUAUAUGUAUAAAUAUAUAUAUCUAUGUAUAUAUAUAUAUAAAUAUAUAUGUAUAUUUAUGUGUAUAUAUAUAUAUAUAUAUAUAUUAUCUCUUAUUAUAAAAGGCAGAUUUUAUCUGCCUCCCUUUGUAUCUUAUAGAAAUCUACAAUAUAGGAUUUCUUCAAUUACAAUUUACCUAGCAUUUUUCAGAGUAGAAUGCAUCGGGUCGUGCCAGGUCCAGUUUUUAAAAUUUCAACCCCAAUUAAGCAAAAUUUAGAGAAAACUCACAUUGUGGUGUCUAAGUCAAAUGCUUUUCUUAGUGUGGCCUACACCACACGCACACGCACACACACAGUGUGCAACGAAUAAAGUGAAAGUAAUUCACUUUUUGUAGUGAGUGACUCUUUCACUCUGCCACUUCCUCUUUACACACAUAGACACGCAAAUAUAUAAAAAAAAUUGUAAGCUAACGUGUGUGUGUGCAUGUGUGUGAGUGUGUGUGUGUGUGUGUGAGGGUGCGUGUGUGUGUGUGUGUGCGUGUGCGUGAGUGUGUGACAGGAAAGUUUUUUAGGACGAAUAUAAGACCUAUAUCCAAGUAGCAGAAAGAUCGCCCGAAAGUGUAUAUAGAUAUUUAAAUGUAUUUAUAUAUUCAUCUAUACACUGAUGUAUGUAUAAUGUGUGUGUAUAUAUUUCCAUAGAGGUAACCUUUCACUCCAUACAAAGUUUUUUAGGACGAAUAUAAGAUCUAAAGUAUAUACAAGUAGCAGAAAGAUCGCCCAAAAGUGUAUAUAGAUAUUUAAAUGUAUUUAUAUAUUCAUCUAUACACAGAUGUAUGUAUAAUGUGCGUGUAUAUAUUUCCAUAGACGUAAAUAUUCGCUCCGCACAAAAUUUUUUAGGACGAAAAUAAGAUCUAAAGUUAUCUCUAAGUAGCACAAAGAUCGCCCAAAAGUGUAUAUAGAUAUAUAAAUGUAUUUAUAUAUUCAUCUAUGCACACAUGUAUGUAUAACGUGUGUGUAUAUAUUUCCAUAGAGGUAACCAUUCACUCCAUACAAAGUUUUUUAGGACGAAAAUAAGAUCUAAAGUUAUCUCUAAGAAACAGAAAGAUCGCCCAAAAGUGUAUAUAGAUAUUUAAAUGUAUUUAUAUAUUCAUCUAUACACACAUGUAUGUAUAAUGUGCGUGUAUACAUUUCCAUACAGGUAACCAUUCAAUCCAUACAACGUUUUUUAGGACGAAAAUAUUUAUAUAUAAAAGAAAGGUUGUGUGUCUGUCUACUCCGAUUUAGAUUCCUAACUACUCCCACAUUUUGCGAUGCAGUUUAACCCAAACCGGGUAUCUUAUAGUCGUGAUUCAUAUCGAGCCCUUCUGGGUAUUAGCGCGCGUCUACAAUGAGUCUAUGAUUUUACAAAUAAUUUACCAUCAUUUUUUUCCAUUUUAAUGCAUACUUUUUAAAUAAAGGGAAGUAACUCUCAAACUUCACACCAAUAUGCGUGCUCAUAUGCGACGUAAUAUCACAUCAGCAGCAUUUCCUCACACCCUCCUUGCACUUGGCGAAGGCAAAAUACCAGGGGAUGAAAAUGGUAAUAUUGCCAUCGAUUCCAUUUGUACCAUUGUUAAGACGCCUUCUGAUCUCAGAGAUGCAGUGUUCCCAGAUCUACAAGCUAAUUAUCAGAAUAUGGAUUGGAUUGGCAAAAAGGCUAUACUGGCCCCGAGGAAUAAAACUGUUCACCAUAUUAAUGAUGAAAUGCUAAAACUCAUUCCUGGGGAAGUCUAUGUAUAUCAGUCUAUCGAUACAACUCCUGACCCAGAGGACGUCAUCAACUAUCCAAUAGAGGUACUCAAUUCCUUUGAGCACCCCGGACUACCACCACACUUUCUCAAACUUAAAGUUGGUGCCCCUAUAAUGCUCAUCAGAAAUUUGGUUCCCCCAAAACAAUGCAAUGGCACACGUUUGAUCGUUAAGUCCUUAUCUCCCACCGUAAACUUAUAUCAAUAUUUGCCUGAAUAAUCAUCAUAAUUCAGUGCAAUCAUUAACAGUACUUUCAAGCAAUUCAGCCCCGAGCAACGCCGGGCAAUUCUGCUAGUCUUAUGAUAAAAGGCAGAUUUUCUCUGCCUGUGACUAUGUUUGUUUUUAAUACAAUUGUACAAUAUAGCAUUUCUUCAAUUGGAAUUUACCUAUGAUUUUUCGAAGUAGAUUCGAUUGGGUCAUGUCAUAUAAAUUUUAUUCAAUUUGACCCCCAAUUAAGCAACAAUUCGAGAAAACUAAAUAUUUUACGAUUUACCUCUCUCAUUUCAACUGCUUCACUCCUAUUAUCACACUUUCUCCUACUUUCUCUUUGCAAGUGUACCUUAAACCACUACUCAAAAAAAUACAGACAGGAAACAGAGACAAAAAUUAAUACAUAACGAUUUACUCCUCACAUACUCAUAGACACGCAAACAUAUACAUAUACUUUCUCUUUGUAAACCACUCCUAAACAAAAAAAAAACAGAGGAAACAGAAACAAAUAAAUACAUAACGAUUUACUCCUCACACACACACAUAGACACGCAAACAUAUACACAUAUGACAGUGACAAACACAAACGUUUGAAACAACUACAUACAAACACUCAAACACACACACACACACACACGUGUGUGUUUGUUAUUAGUAAAAACAGGCGCCAAACACAAUUCACUUUCUCAUUCGAACACAUUUGCAAACACACACCAACAAUUCACUGACAUAUAGUGAGUAGAUGCUAGCCGCUCACAUUAUGAGUUACACUAUCACACCAGUUGUACUGGGUCUGUUGUCUACUUCCCGUUAGUUUUUAGUGUCGAAGAAACAAAACUUUCUCGAGAAAGAACAAAAAAAGCACUGCUAGAUUUCACAAAGGUCUUUAAGAAACUUUAAGAUAUAAAGUAUGUUCAGUUGAAGAAAAGAGACGGAUUUAAGGAAAUCAGACGGUCGAUUUCAACAGAAAAGGUAAAUUGGUUUUUAAUUUACUUUCUGUCGCUAAGUUUUCGUAGUAUUAUUUUGUGAGCGUACUUCAGUUGUUAAUUGUUGAAAGAAAGAAAUUGUAAGCUAAGAAGGUGUGUGUGUGUGUGUGUGUGUGUGUGUGUGUGUGUGUGUGUGUGUGUGUGUGUGUGAGUGUGUGUGUGUGUAUGAAGCGAAGGAUAAAACUAUGGCAAGAGGUGGACAGAUGUACAUAUAUACAUACAUCCAUACAUACAUACAUACAUGUGUGUGUGUGUGUAUGUAUGUGUAUUAAUGUGUGUGUGUUAUCUUUCUCUAUAUAAAGCUGAAGUUGUCUGUGUGCGCCAGGUUUGGUAGCCUUCAACUAACACUAUCUCCUCCGAGACCCUGCGGAGCAAGUUGACCAAAAUUGGGAGUAUGAUAGAAGAAGGGUUGCUCCUCCUUCCGUAGAAGAUAAAAUUCAAAUCGGACCAUGUUAACUCCAAACAUUAUUUACAUCAAAAAGGUGCUUUUUUCUAUGAAAAUCCCUAUUUUUUACGAUUUUUUCACUGCUGUGUCGCCACUUUUCGGUGUAUUUCAACCAGAAAAAUGUUCACUUGAAGAGAAUAACAUGCUACAUAAUGCAAAAGUUUCACUUUUCAAAAAUUCCAAUUCCAGCGCCUAUAAACAAACUCGAGCAACGCCGGGCGAUACUGCUAGUUAUACAGCUAUGUUAUACAGCUGAGCACUCCAACAUUCCUAUGCUAUGUAACAUGCAAUAGAGUGAGCAAUUCAUUUGAUCGAUCGUGACUCCAAAUUAUGACAUCGGAAGAAGCUAAUAGGAUUAUUGUUAGAUAUUUCCAUAUAUUCUGGCAUGUAAUAGAUAACUUUGUAUGAAUUGCAUAACAUUGUAUGAGAUAGGAAAUAGAUCAAACUCCGUUUAUAGAAACAAUUGUGAUGUUAAUUAGAUUCCUCCUUUCCUCAUUUAAAUUUUUACGGUUAUGUAUAUAUAUGCAGAUGUGGGUGUGUAUGUAUGUAUGUAUGUGUAUAUUUAUGCAUGCAUGCACGCAUGUAUGUACUUAUAUAUGUUAUAUGUAAGUAUGCUUGUAUGUAUUCAUAUACGCAUGAGCAUCCUCGGUCGCGUAGCUUUACCUAUUUGUAUGUAUGUAUGUAUGUAUGUAUGUAUGUAUGUAUGUAUAUAUGUAUGUCAGGGCACUUUCGAGUGCUACUGGUAACAUGUAACCCAGCACAACAUGUUGCAUGGUCGUAUCGUCGGCGACUAAACCGGCAACCCCACCAAGCUUGCUUGGUGAGGAGAUUGUUUAUCGUACACCCUUCGGGAUGAAAAACAAAACCCGUCAAAGGCCGGAGGAACUCUUGAGAGUCAACGGCCAUCCAAUAAAUGUAUUAAGGCUGUAUCAUGCACGGGGACAUAGAAAUAAUCGGACUGAAUACUGAAUACCCGAUUACGCUGUUAAACCAUUGGGAGAGAAGGACUCGUAGUCUUUGUUAGGGCAUCCUUCUAGGGGAAGGUAACUCAAGUAACUGGGAUAACUCGUACAUAAAACCUGCAGCUGAGUGGUUACCGAUGAUGUUGACUUGUUCUUCUUUUCGGAUUUUGACUGCUGUUGCUUAGUGAGUGGGAUUGACUCAGUGCACAACCUUUCUUCACUUUAAAAAAAAUCUUCUUGCACAGGCAUUGCACGAUAAAAACAUUGAUUAAACUUCGUGCAAUUGCCACACUCGAUAACGAGGGGGCACCCAGCAUGUAUGUAUGUAUAUAUGUAUGUAUGUAUGUAUGUAUGUAUAUAUAUAUAUAUAUAUAUAUAUAUAUAUAUAUAUAUAUAUAUAUAUAUAUAUAUAUAUAUGAUAGUGCUCUAGUCGCAUCAAAACGUGCCCUCAUUAUUAUGAGGACGAUACAGGUAUGUCUAUACACGCAGUGGCUCUGUAGUAUAUGUGGAAAGAAGCUCGAAUAUUUCAUCUUACUUCUAGCCAGUAUUUAAUGUUUAUUUAUUUACUGGAAGAUGUUAUAUAUAUAUAUAUAACAUCUUCCAGUAAAUAAAUAAACAUUAAAUACUGGCUAGACAGUAAGAUGAAAUAUUCGAGCUUCUUUCCACAUAUACUGCAUAGAGCCACUGCGUGUAUAGACAUACCUGUCUCGUCCUCAUAAUAAUGAGGGCACGUUUUGAUGCGACUAGAGCACUAUCACAAACUGCGAACAGUGACUCGAGCACAUAUAAUACGAUUCCAUAAUAUCUGUUUGUGAUGUUAUAUUGCAAUUAUCUGAUCUGAAUAUCUCGAUCCAAAGCAGAUGUUCCAGUUUCAAUAUGAUUUUCCUCGUUUUUGGGAACUUUCUAACAAUUAUUUCGUUAAACUCUUUAUAUCCUUUUUCAUUGAAUUUGUGAAGAUUAUUUUGAAAGUUCUGAAGUUGGGUAUUACCUAUUGUAAAUAAACUUAAAGUAACUGGCUAUGGUUCCAUACAGAUAAAAUAAUGUUUCUGUGAAUGAGGAAGUAAUGAAUUACAAACUUCAAGAUAACUACACCAAAGAAUAAUCAUUAGAUAAGGGGAAAACAUUACACAUAUUAUGAUUAAAAAAUGACAAGUCCAUGCCCAUUAACAUAUAGCUCUCUAAAAGCGAAAACAAAUUAAGUUAAAAAGCUAUGUAGUUUACGCACUAUGUCGAAAAUCGAUAGGAAAAACUGAGAAGUUUAUAGGCAAAUAUCAAACUAUUUCGAUCUUUAAAGCAGAUGACAUACUGUCAAAAACUGAAUCUGAAACUGGGAAGAGUUAGAAAUAGGAAACAAAGCCAGCGCUUUUUUGAAUACUUACUAUUAUAAAGAAUUACCAAUUGACUUCAUUUUAGUUAAGAAAAAAGUAAGAAAUGAUAUGUCGUACGUUAUGGCUCAAACAGACUCAAACGUUCUAAUAUAAGUUUAUAUACUCGUUUCACUUAUACCUUAAAAUAUUUCUUUUAACAUAGAAAGAAAAGAAAAACAAGAAAACAUUUAAAGAUGACUUUCGAAAUAUUUUCAAGUUGGAAGUAAAAUAAAUAAAAUGCCAUGCGAAUUACGAUUCGUGAAUUAUUGAUAUUAAUUAUUUUAAACAUUUGCAUAUUCAUGCUGUGUUUUCUGCUUAUUUUUGUUUCAUAUAUACAAUAUACGAAGAGAAAAGUGAAAACAAAAAAUAUAUGUAUUUUUCUUAAUUUAAAAUAGAGAAACUAUACUUUUAAAUUUAAUAACUGUCUUCAUUUUUCGCUCAAUAGCAGAAAUAUUGUUAUAAUGCAAAAAUUCACUGUUUUGUCGAUAACUUUGUUUCCUUGAUAUCACUCGUAAAUCAAUAUUGCUCGAUAUAGGUAUAUCAUGGAAUUAACAGUUCAACCAAAUUCAUUAUUUAGUUAUACAUAUAUUUAGAUCCAUAUAACAAGUAUCGAAUUGAAAAUUAUUUCCUACGCAGCUGUUAGUUUAGGCCCUAAGCAACAUUUGUUUCAAGUCAUAAACGCGUCGGUAAACAUAAACUUACUUAGAACGUGAUUGUAUUCAAGCUUUGUCCCAUAUCAGAUUAACAUUGCUUUCAAAGCCUCUAUAAAUGACUUCUGACACGAGCACAAAAUACAAAAGUGGGGCGAAACAAAGAGCAGAUUAUAUAAACCUUAGUAGUUAGGAUGGCAUUAUAUUUCUUCCCACUGAAGGAUAACAAUCAAGCUCUAUAGGUUAAAAAAGAAAAUAAGAAGAAUGUAAUUCACCCCUGUUGGAGGGAUGAAAAACAAAACAGAUAGCAGUUAAAUUUAAGUUCAAAUUCUUAUGACACUGAAAUAAACAUAGAAUUUGUCCCGAACUUAAAUAUUUCUGACAAUAUAUCAUCCUUCGUUGCGCUACUGAAAAAAGCAAAAAAACUUCUAACUACUAAAAGUAUCUUACUGGCAUGAAAUUUAAAUAGAUUUGCUUUAUCAAUGUUCAAAUCACUAAGGUACCUAUCGGUCAGUUGCAGGCAUUUGAAAUAGGACUUGUCUAUCACUAUGCUGGGGCAAUGACUUCUUGAUUCGGUUUUGCUACUGCAACUUAGGGGCGCUGAAGCUAACCACAGGAAACAAAAUAAAAACAAUGAAAGAAGUUGUCUGCGAAUAUAUUUAGAAAACUAUGUGCACAGAUGUCCCUCUCUCCCUUUGUCUUACGUUAUCUGUGAUCUUUCUAUUUAUUUUUAUAUUUUCUAAUCUAUAUAUAUUUCUCUGUCUGUCUCCUUUCCUCUCCCUCUGUCUCCUUCUCUCUUUCUCUCGCUUGCUCUCUCUUUUCUCUCUCUCUCUGUCUUUGUAUAUAUAUAUUUACAAACACACACACACGCACACACACACACAUAUACAUACAUAACGUAUUUAUUCAUAUAUGUGUGCUUUGUAAAAUGCUAUCUCUAUACGAUAGGGUGCCAAAACCCUGAUCACGUGGUUGUCCAUUAGUUUAUAAUGCUUUAGUGGAGUACUCUAUUUUUUCCUUUGAUGGAUUACUUUGAUAAAAAUUAUGUUUUUGAAAUUCGUAUGGACGGCGAUAGACAUGGCGUUCGUCUUGACGCAUUUAUCAAGUCAUAAUUUAAAUGCGAGAGUUAAAGAGAUUUGUGAAAUAAAUAAAAUUUUACAAGAGGCAGACGAAAAUUAAAUUAACCAUUUUGUCUAUUUCCGAUAUCUGAUAAUGAACUGUGUUAAUUCAAAUAAGAAAUCGCUGAAAAAUAUAGAGCUAAUUUUGUCUGCAGUUUUCUUUUGAAGCAGCAGUGUACUAUUCCGUUGUUGGAGUAAAAAAAAUGUUUUAGUAUUUAUCCUGAUUUAUCUACCUAACGGUACUAUAAAAGGGAUUCUGCAUAAUAUUAUGAAUCUAAAAUCGGUCAUGUAUAACGCUAUGAUGCUGAAAAGAACAAGCUUCACUAUUGAUUUUCAUAGAAACUGUAGAUCAAUAUUACAAUACAUACUGAACCUUCUCACUGGUAAUUUAUUAGAUGCACAUAAGUAUCAGUAAAUAUGGGUAGCAUAUGACUUUACAUAAAGUGCCCUAUCGAGGGAUUUUUCUAACCUAUUUUAACAAUUUAUGUUUCCUUAUCGUCUCAUGAAAGAAAGUUUUCGGCAUUUACUUGAGUUCUUAACAUUAAUUCUUAGUGCUGUGUUUUCCCAAAAUUGUUUUGAAUUGUCUUAAACUAAAGUGAGUGAAAAGUGAGACACAAAAGUGGGAGGUCCUCACAUCUAUAAAUAUUUCAACUACUGUCUUAUUUCAUAUGCUACACUAAAUAUAUUCUUCGAGUCUAUAUUUUACAUUCCUCCACAUAGACAUUUGUCAUCACAGUUUAUACAAUUCUAUUGUAGUAUCUUAUAUAUAAAAAUGUAUUGCUAUAGGAAACCUCAGCGCUUGAUACCAAACUAUUGAUUAAUAUACCGAGAGUCCCUUUUACAAACAGUCUCUCCCUAACGACCAUUAAAAACAUUUACGUUGAGGAAAGUAAAUAUGUAUAUACAGAUUACGAGGCAUAAAUCAUAGUAUUUAAAAAUAUACAUUACCAUAGCUAGAGAAACUAUUCUUACUGUUUCCAUUCAACUUCGAGACGACACAAAUAAUUUUGCAAUCAAAACCUGAAAUUCUCAUGACCCAAUCUUAAAAAACCGAUGAAGGAUAGUUGAAAUGUAAUCAGAAUUCUGGUUGUUUGGGUAAUGACGUUUCUUCUCUCAGUUUGGAAGACACAAAAAGCAGGUUUAGGCUAUGUAUCAUCAGCUGAUCAAAUAUGCCUUAGCAAGAAGAUCAGUGCAUAACGGAUAAUGUUCUUACCCACACUUUCAGAUGUUAAUAAGAAGUGGACGUGCUGCCGAAGACUUGAACAUUCUAGAUCAGUUCUAUAUCAAUUGUUGCACAAAUACCUGUGCAACAUCUCACUCAACAGCAAGAUGCCUAACAUGGCUGUAAUUGUUUUUUCUCAAAGUGCGCGUAUCGAAGCUCUCCUUAUCAAAAAUUAAUCUCAAUGGGUACAAUUCAUUGUUUGACUAGCUUACAGUGAAAUACCAAAUGCACUAAUUUAUAAUCAUUACUAGCGACCGGUACUUCCAGAAUGUCACGGAAUACAAUAUCUAAGCAGAGGACAAUUCAGCUGCGAUAGGGGAAGCUAGAGAAAGCUCCAAAUCAGUAAUUGCAGAAUCGAUCGGAUAUGCAAAAUCUCAUAUAUAUAUAAUCGCAAGAAAUGAAUAAUCCAUCCGGUGUGCCAGUAUGGAUAUCACUCACAGAUACGCUUGACCAGUCACUGACGUUAAUGCAGCCAAGUAGUACAUAGAAAAAAAUGAGACCUUUGGGUACAUAACAAUAGAGUCAAAUCAAGCUUUCUCAUACGAAGAAUAAAUAUUGUUUUAAUUGUUUAAUAUUACAUUGGCUUUUAUACUAGUAUGAAGGUACCUAUCUAACUACCUACAUACCUACGUAGCUAUUUGCUUACUUGUGCUCAUACACACACACACACACACACACACACACGCAUGCACACAUGCAUUCACUCAAACAUAUACGACUGAAUGUGUCUGUGUGUAUAUAUAUAUAUAUAAUAAUAAUUAGAGGCAAAACCACUAUUUUGCAAAUCAAACAAGGAAAGACUUAAUCAAUACAUAAAAAAUUUUAAUAUAAAGUAAAUAAAUAAAUAAAUUUAUUUAUUUAUUUAUUUACUUUAUAUUAAAUUUUUUUAUGUAUUGAUUAAGUCUUUCCUUGAUUGAUUUGCAAAAUAGUGGUUUUGUCUCUAAUUAAUAUUAUAUAAUAUUUUACUAUAAAAUUGGAUUCAAUCCUAAAUCUGAUUUUUCCCUGUGAAUUUGGAUUUAUUCCCUAAUAUUUAUUAUAUAUAUAUAUAUAUAUAUAUAUAUAUAUAUAUAUAUAUAUUACAUAAUAUUAUAUUAUAAUAUAUUACAUAUUUUACUUGUUUCAGUCAUUUGACUGCAACCACACUGGGGCACACACAUAGACGCGUGUGCGUACACACACAUGCAUGUAUACAUACAUAUAUAAUACAUACAUCCAUGCAUGCAUACAUACAAAUUGGUAUAAGCCCAAGCGCACGCACUCAUAUACAAUGUCUAUAAUAGAAGGAAACUGUAGUGUUGGGAAUAAACAACAACGGUUAUUAUGAUUAAUUUUGUUUAUCUAGGAGUCUAACGAUUUGGAGGAAGGAAAAUAAAAUAUUCCAUUAUCAAUAAAUCUCGGCUUUAAACCUACUGAGGUUGACAAAAUAAGUACAAGUCAAUUAAAUCAACUAUAGCUUUGUCCCAAGAGUCUUACUGUUUUACCAAAGCCCCAAGUCAAUAAUCAAAUGUCUUCACAUAACACAAUCGAAUACAAAUAUAUUAGUUUAAUUUACUCCAAUUUCUUAGCGUCAAUUAUAUACUUACCAUACGGCAAUAUUUAAUUGCUUUCUCAGCAUUUACUAGAAAUGUUAGCGAUUUUCGAACGUGAUGGAUAAUGUAAAACUCAGUGUAAAUUAAAAGCAACAGCCAGGCGCUGGAAAUCAUUUAUCACUUUCACAAGCAGUGUAUUAUGUGUGUGUGUUAUGUAUAAUUCAGUCUACUUUUCAAUUAAGGAAAUUAUGUUUCCGCAUUAACAGAUUCACCUUGGUAAUUAUAAAUGUACGAACAUUUUUCUACACCACAUAUCCAACAAUGUGAUAUUUCCUAAACUGUAAAUAGUCAAACUCUGUACAAAAUUUAUAUGUAUAUGUAGAUAUAUUUAUUUGUGUAUGUGUGUAUGUUUGCGUGUUAGUGUGUGUGUAUUUAUUUGCACAUAUAUGUGUGUUUGCAUGUGUGCUCGCAUGCAUGUGAAUUCGCGCCGUAUGUUUAGAAACAGUAAGAUGUUCGUCAUAGAAUUUUAAUAUUAUGUUACAUUCAAAUUUAUAUACAUAUAUGUAUAUAUAUAUAUAUAUAUAUAUACAUAAACACACACACACACACACACAUACACACACACAUAUAUAUAUAUGUAUAUAUACAUAUAACAAGUUAAAAAUAGUGGUUUGUUAACAUUUAGACUACAAAGGCAAAGUUAAUAGAGGUCACAAAAGUGACAGAGGGUACUGACUAGCAUCUCUUUUGCUAAAGAUAAGAGCUAAACUAACUCAAAGCCACAUACUCACUUAGCGCAUACGGUUAAACUUAACUACCUCUGUUAGUCUUAUGAGAAAAACCGUUGAAAACGUGUUUUGAUUUCCGAAAUGGUAAAAGUGUAAAGAACAAAUUAGAAAAGGUGGCUUAUUAGCAAUUAGAACCUAAAGGCAAAAUUAAUAGCGGUCAAAAAAGGGACAGAGGAUAAUGACUAGCUCCGCUUUUGCUAAAGAUAAGAGUUAAAAUAACUCAAAGCCACAAACCCAUUGUGACCGACAAAAGGGGUUAAGAGCCACUGAUGAGGAUUAAGAUGGUCUACAUCAUAAUCCGAAAUAGCGAUCUUGCUAUGUACUCUGGGGACUUACCUCACUUUGCCAGUUACCUAAGACUGUAAAGUUUGGGACUUUGAGUUAGCUUAACUCUUAUCGUUAGCAACAGCGAUGCUAGUCAGUACCGUCUAUAACUUCCGUAACCUCUAUUAACAUGUAUAUACCCACAUAUACACAUAUAUAUUAAUAGAGGUCACGAAUGUGAUUAACACUGCUGUUGGUACAGAUAAUUAUUGAAUAUAUAUAUAUAUAUAUAUAUAUAUAUAUAUAUAUAUAUAUAUAUAUAUAUAUAUAUAUAUAUAUAAUAUGAGGGUUUAGUUGACUGGUGAUCUAAACGAACAGGUGCGCUGAGUAAGUGCUAUAAUUUGUCAUCCGUUAUAUUCCGCGUUCACAGCUAAGGCUGGAGCUAGGGAUACGUAUUAGGCUUCCAUAUUAGUGGGUAUAUAGUAUAUUAGAGGGAAAAGGACAACAAAUACAAAAGCAGAACCAAAAUCUCAACCCAUUCGGAAUAAUCUAAUUGGGGUAAGUUGAAUUUCAAGUCUUACAGCUAUUUUUGGAGUUAUCCCAAGUGGUAGGCUAGAUUGUUCAUACACUAGAUUUUUCAUCAUUAGAGACAAGGUAUGUAUGUAUGUAUGUAUGUAUGUAUGUAUGUAUGAAAGUAUUAGACAGGGAAAUUCACAGUUUAUACAGACUAAUAUAGAAGAAUAAAGAGUAAAAUUAGAUAGAAGAAUAAAGUUUACUUUAUUCUUCUGUCUGUAGACCUCUACUUAAAUUCUAUUCUUUACUCUUCUAUUUUAUUCCUUAUAAACUGAGAAUUCCCUGUCCAGAACGUUCACACAUAUCCAUCUUGUCUCUGAUGAUGGAAUACCCAGUGUACGGACAUGCUAGUCUAUCAGUUGGUAUAUCCUAGAAACAGCUGUACGACUCCAAAUUCACUUUAACCCAUUUAAAUUAUUCUAAACAACUUGAGAUAUGCGUCCUGCCUUGGUUUUUGAUGUCCUUUUCCAUCAAAUAUAAUAUAUAUUAUGUUAUAUGUAGUUUAGUCUAUGUCUUGUUUAGUGUGACCAACAGUUUCGUAUUCACAAAAGGUUUAGCCUUAUGGACGUCUCGGCAGCCUCUAAAACCGAAGGCAAAUGUACCUCUUCACCUCUGGGAGGUAGAAAUUUGAUAAGUCACCAAAGAAUAAAUACUCGGGGCUCAGUGAGGACGAGUUAGCUACCUUAGAUGGGGAACAGGAAAUGUUUCCCCCUGGGCCGAUUUAAGCUGGAUCACUGAACACUCGCCAGGAAAUGUACACUCUUGCAUCCAUUUCAAACGCUACUUGUUUCAAGUAUGUUUUUGCUCAGAUGAAGUAGUCUAAGUGGGAUAAUCUGUCAUCAUUGACCCAGGGGCAUUUAUUCUUCGGUGAUUUACCGAAUGACCGUAACGGAUCACUGACUCCCAGAGGUGAAGUUUACAUUUGCGCUCAGCCUGAGAGCCCGAUGAGACGUCAAUGAGGUUAAGUUCUUUAUGCGAAACCUUUGGUUAGUCUAUGACCAGACAUUGACUUCACACAUAAGUACGUUACUGGUCAAUGUUUUAGACUGUGCCCCUUUUUCGGAUCUAUAUAUAUAUAUAUAUGGGUGGGGUUGCGGCGGUGUUUAUAUAAAGAUAACACUAUCUAAACACUGCUAAUUUUAAUUUCAGUCAAUCCACUUACAAUUUCAUUUGUUUACGUUCCAGGCUACUCGAAUAUGAUUAGCCAUUGAUUAGCAAUAACACAUCUUGUUUUUAUUACAGCGAAUGCUUAUCUGUAAAAGCCAAACUAACUCUAAUUAUGUUAAAUAUGAAUUUUAAACAGUGCUCAUAUAACAAAAUGCUAAUUAUAAUAAAAAGUUAAAUGGAACAAGUUUUUGGUAUUUAUGAAUUUUUUUAAUUUGCAUAUCUUCGGCGUGAAACCAGGAUCAUUUUUUAAUGUUUUAAAUGGAAAAUCUUACUUUCUCUUGAUGAUAUGUGUCAAAGUGGUGGGUGUACCUGUAAGAGCUACUGACACAUUUGUAUGAUUUAAUAGUAAAAUUUCUCAUUGGAAAAGCACAAACAUAUCUCAAUCUCCUUCCUAUUUUUCUAUCCGCUUAGUCGGACCGUUAAGUCAAGGGGCACAAAGAGAUACUAACAUGUAAUACUGAUUUUCAACACGUAAGUCAAAAUACAAUCACAACGCAGAGUCUACACCACAGUACAUGUAUAUAUAUAUAUAUAUAUAUAUAUAUAUGUAUACAGAGAGAGAGAGAGAGAGAGAGAGAGAGAGAGAGAGAGAGAGAGAGAUACAUUCACUCCGUCGGGUACGACGAGGAAAGUUCCACUUGACCCAAUCAACGGAACUGGUUACCCUGUGAUCGCUAGCCGAAUACUCUAACAACUAAGCCAUAUACUUAACCAUAUAUAUAUAUUCACACACACACAAAUAUUUGUAUAAAUAUUCAUACACACACACACAUAUAUAUAUGUAUACAUAUAUAUAAAUAUAUAUAUAUAUAUAUAUAAUUAAUUAAUAAGGGUGAGAGAAUUAGAUACUAAUUUAAUAGUAUAUUUAUUCCACACCAAGUGGCCUAGUGCUACGAGAAACCUGGAUUAUUAUAAUAUUUUAUAACAUAUUAUAAUAUUUUCACAAAAUAAAUAUAAGAGAGUGUUCACUAUAUUGAUCACUCUAGCACUAGUUAAUCCAAGAGGUUUCAACCACGAAAAAUACAUGUUUCCCAUGAAAGCCGGUACGACUGUUAGUUCACACGGACAGGGCAAAUAAAAAAUAACAAAAAUACAGAUUAUCUUGGGACAAUUGUUUCGCUAUUAAUGAAUUAAAUGUAAUAUUACUUACAGUAAUCCAUUUGUAGCUCUUCAGCCAAGGCUAUCUUGAUGAAAUCCACUCAAUCACACGCCAGAUUUUACCAUAACGAUAAUUACGCGUGCGGUUCAAUUGAUUACAUCGGACGUUAUAAUUCAAAUGCCCCAACCAACAGCGCGCCAAACUCUCACGGAAAACAAAUACAGCAUUUAGAAAUAAAUGCAGCAUAAUUAUAAUUAAUUAAUAAGGGUGAGAGAAUUAGAUACUAAUUUAAUAGUAUAUUUAUUCCACACCAAGUGGCCUAGUGCUACGAGAAACCUGGAUUAUUAUAAUAUUUUAUAACAUAUUAUAAUAUUUUCACAAAAUAAAUAUAAGAGAGUGUUCACUAUAUUGAUCACUCUAGCACUAGUUAAUCCAAGAGGUUUCAACCACGAAAAAUACAUGUUUCCCAUGAAAGCCGGUACGACUGUUAGUUCACACGGACAGGGCAAAUAAAAAAUAACAAAAAUACAGAUUAUCUUGGGACAAUUGUUUCGCUAUUAAUGAAUUAAAUGUAAUAUUACUUACAGUAAUCCAUUUGUAGCUCUUCAGCCAAGGCUAUCUUGAUGAAAUCCACUCAAUCACACGCCAGAUUUUACCAUAACGAUAAUUACGCGUGCGGUUCAAUUGAUUACAUCGGACGUUAUAAUUCAAAUGCCCCAACCAACAGCGCGCCAAACUCUCACGGAAAAACAAAUACAGCAUUUAGAAAUAAAUGCAGCAUAAUUAUAAUUAAUUAAUAAGGGUGAGAGAAU